UCGGCGUGGUGCGAGUUGUCUGAGCUCUAGCGACGUUCUUGAGGAGCAACGGAGGUCCCGCUCACGCUCGAGGCACAGAGGCUCGGAUGAGGAGCAGCUUGGUCGUGGUAGACGAUCUCCUGAGAUUCACCGACGUUUUCAUUCUCAGCGAGAGCCUCAGGUUACUCAGCCAUUUCAGGAGGCUCAGUGGCAGCAGUCUCCGUCUUCUCAGCGCUUUCCAGGCCAGAGUUAGGGGCAGCGUCAAUUGUUUUCACAGCCUCCACAGCCUGAGUUUGGGUCUGUUUUGACUCCCUUGGAUCCUGGUUUGUUUUCAGCUCCAUUGUCCGGGAUUCCUCCACCGGUGUCGGGCUUAUUCUCAGUUCCGCUAUAUGGGACGAUGCCUUCACCGACGAUUCCAGUGUCUCUGGGCCUGUCUACUCCAUUUUUCGGUUGGACGGGUCCUGCCUUGAGCUUGACUACUGCUGGGGUUACAGGGACUAGUAGAGACACUACUCCCCGUACUCGGAUGGUGGAGGGACUCUUCGGUUCGCCGUUCCCAUAUGCACAGGAUGGACCACAUGCACAGGGUGGAGAUGAGACUGAUUCUGGCUCUAGAGACUUUUGACCGAGGGUUUUUAUUUAUACAUACUAUGAUGACACUUGACAUAUUUACGUAUUACGACUCUUUGUACAUUAUUUACGGCUUAUGUAUUUAUUAUUGUGUGUUAGUGUGUGUUUGAGACUCCUUGUGUGUGAUUGUGUAUUUAUUAACGACACGACGAAAAAACAUAAGUGGAGUAAUAGAGGGUACCGACCUUCCCCAAAAGAAAAAGAAAUAAAAAGACAAGCAAAAUAAAAUUACUUUCCCCAAAAGAA